CUACACAUACCCUGUAGAUCCGAAAUUUGUCAUAAAUUUGUCGACAAAUUCGGUUCUAGAGAGGUUUGUGUGGU
rnacentral:pre_miRNA from 1 species